rnacentral:rRNA from 1 species
UGAACGCUGGCGGCAGGCCUAACACAUGCAAGUCGAACGGCAGCGCGGAGAGCUUGCUCUCUGGCGGCGAGUGGCGGACGGGUGAGUAAUGCAUAGGAAUCUGCCCAGUAGUGGGGGACAACCUGGUGAAAACCAGGCUAAUACCGCAUACGACCUACGGGUGAAAGCAGGGGACCUUCGGGCCUUGUGCUAUUGGAUGAGCCUAUGUCUGAUUAGCUAGUUGGUAGGGUAAAGGCCUACCAAGGCGACGAUCAGUAGCUGGUCUGAGAGGAUGAUCAGCCACACUGGGACUGAGACACGGCCCAGACUCCUACGGGAGGCAGCAGUGGGGAAUAUUGGACAAUGGGGGCAACCCUGAUCCAGCAAUGCAGCGUGUGUGAAGAAGGCCUGCGGGUUGUAAAGCACUUUCAAUUGGGAGGAAAAGCUAAAGGUUAAUACCCUUUAGUCUUGACGUUACCAUUAGAAGAAGCACCGGCUAACUCCGUGC